UAAUACGGAAGGGGCAAGCGUUGUUCGGAAUUAUUGGGCGUAAAGGGCGUGUAGGCGGCUUCGCAGGUCUGUGGUGAAAGCAUACAGCUCAACUGUAUUGAGCCAUGGAAACGGCGGAGCUUGAGGCUGGGAGGGGCUGGUGGAAUUCCCUGUGUAGCGGUGAAAUGCGUAGAGAUGGGGGAGAACACUCGUGGCGAAGGCGGCCAGCUGGACCAGUUCUGACGCUGAGACGCGAAAGCGUGGGGAGCAAACAGGAUUAGAUACCCUGGUAGUCCACGCUGUAAACGAUGGGCACUAGGUGUCGGCGGUUCAUAAUCCGUCGGUGCCGGCGCUAACGCAGUAAGUGCCCCGCCUGGGGAGUACGGUCGCAAGGCUG
rnacentral:rRNA from 1 species